AAUGAACGCUGGCGGCAUGCCUAACACAUGCAAGUCGAACGAAGGCUUCGGCCUUAGUUGCUCACGGGUGCGUAACGCGUGGGAAUCUAGCCUUAGGUACGGAAAAAUAGUUGGAAACGACUGCUAAUGCCGGAUGACUACGGAAAACCAAAGAUUUAUCCUAUAGGGAUGAGCCCGCGUAGGAUUAGCUAGUCGGUGUUGUAAAGGCGCAACAAGGCUUCGAUCCUUAGCUGGUCUGAGAGGAUGAUCAGCCACACUGGGGCUGAGAUACGGCCCAGAAUCCUAGGGGAGGGAGGAGUGGGGAAUAUUGGAAAAUGGGCGGAAGCCUGAACGAGCAAUGCCGGGUGAGUGAUGAAGGCCUUAGGGUUGUAAAGCUCUUUUAUACGGGAUGAUAAUGACAGUACCGGAAGAAUAAGCUCCGGCUAACUCCGUG
rnacentral:rRNA from 1 species